UACGUAGGUGGCAAGCGUUGUCCGGAAUCAUUGGGCGUAAAGCGCGCGCAGGCGGCCUCUUAAGUCUGAUGUGAAAGCCCCCGGCUUAACCGGGGAGGGCCAUUGGAAACUGGGAGGCUUGAGUAUAGGAGAGAAGAGUGGAAUUCCACGUGUAGCGGUGAAAUGCGUAGAGAUGUGGAGGAACACCAGUGGCGAAGGCGACUCUUUGGCCUAUAACUGACGCUGAGGCGCGAAAGCGUGGGGAGCAAACAGG
rnacentral:rRNA from 1 species